AUGAAGACUUAGAAAAAAAGUAAAGCAUACGCGUUUGGUUUGCGCUAUAUAACAUUACAAGUUAUUUCGACAUAUUCAGAUAUUGUGAAUUUCUGAAUGAGAUUACUACUAUGUUGUAUUACAAUGUUUGGUUUAAUGCUAUAUUUGAUUCAGUUUAUAAAAUUAAGUAAUUCUGACAAUAAAAUAUAAUCUUUUCCAAAAUUAUCCUUUAGCUAUAUUUGGCAAAAAUUUUUAGGGCAUCUUUGGUUCGUAGUCGGAAUCGAAAUCG
rnacentral:lncRNA from 1 species